CAGUCGCCACGGUAAUACGUAGGGUGCAAGCGUUAAUCGGAAUUACUGGGCGUAAAGCGUGCGCAGGCGGUUAUAUAAGACAGAUGUGAAAUCCCCGGGCUCAACCUGGGACCUGCAUUUGUGACUGUAUAGCUAGAGUACGGUAGAGGGGGAUGGAAUUCCGCGUGUAGCAGUGAAAUGCGUAGAUAUGCGGAGGAACACCGAUGGCGAAGGCAAUCCCCUGGACCUGUACUGACGCUCAUGCACGAAAGCGUGGGGAGCAAACAGGAUUAGAUACCCCUGUAGUCCCUGUCUCUUAUAU
rnacentral:rRNA from 1 species